UGGCUCAGGACGAACGCUGGCGGCGUACUUAACACGUGCAAGUCGAACGGUGACCCAGGGCUUGCCCUGGUGAUCAGUGGCGAACGGGUGAGUAACACGUGGGCAACCUGCCCCUGACUUCGGGAUAACUCCUCGAAAGAGGAGCUAAUACCGGAUACGACCACUUCGGACAUCCGAUGGUGGUGGAAAGUUUUUCGGUCAGGGAUGGGCCCGCGGCCUAUCAGCUAGUUGGUGGGGUAAUGGCCUACCAAGGCGACGACGGGUAGCCGGCCUGAGAGGGCGACCGGCCACACUGGGACUGAGACACGGCCCAGACUCCUACGGGAGGCAGCAGUGGGGAAUAUUGCGCAAUGGGCGAAAGCCUGACGCAGCGACGCCGCGUGAGGGAUGAAGGCCUUCGGGUUGUAAACCUCUUUCAGCAGGGACGAAGCGAAAGUGACGGUACCUGCAGAAGAAGCACCGGCUAACUACGUG
rnacentral:rRNA from 1 species